UCAAAAAAGUCCCAUCUGAUGUCGGCGGAAAAGAAAACAUUAUCUUUCACCUGAAGAAGAAGCAUGAAAUAAAAGAACGGCUGCUGUGUUGCCCUUUGACUGAUAGAGGCCAAUUGCGAUUGAAUCGUUAUCAUCGAAAACAAGAAUUCUUAAGAACAGAAAGAUCAAUGGCUAGCAGAACGUCAGAAUGCAUACAAAUGUAACGAAAAUCACAAGGCAAAAUCGAUGGAAGUUUUAGAGAAUGCCUAUUUCGACAGAAACCUGCUUCAGCGAGAACUUCCAGAAGGUCCAUUAUCGCCAGUCAGUGGAGCAUAGUACCUAUCGCCGACAUUUCAUAUUGAUUUUAAAUAAAAAAAAUGUCUCGGAGAAAGGUAGGAAAUGAGUAAAUAAAUGAAAUGAAAAUUUAAAAAACAAAAUUAAAAUGAAUUCUAUUCUAUUUUUAAUGAAGAAAACAUCUUUUUAUUUUUCCAGUGUAUCAAUUUUGA